UUUUAAAAAUUACCAUAAAUCAGAAUGCUGUCAGUUUCUCUUAUUACUACACUUAAAUGAAGUAUUAUAAUCAAUGUUUGCAAAGCAGAUGUUAGAUGAAAGAUAACUGAUGUUAUCACUGAGAACCAAGGAGCAUACGACGAUGCAGGAUAAUGGCCGAUCUUACGAAAUAUCGGACGCGGUUAUUCAUUGCAGCAUAACUUUAAGUAUAAGUCACUAAACUUUCUUGAAUUUUUGUAUAUAGUAGGGCUAGAGUGUGUCUUUAAAUCAGUGCAUAAAUGACCUAAAUUGGCAAUGUAUAGGAUGAGAAAAGUGCGUCCGAAUAUAGGUGGAGUCCGAUCAUUGAUAGAUUACUCUAGAUCUAUGUAGGAGUGGCUAGGAAAAGAUGGAGGCAGAUUUGAGUGAGGAGGUAGAGGAAAAUGAAGUCUCAUCCGUACAAAGGGUAGUAUUCCUUAUUGAGACGCUUAUAGCGGACAGUAGCAGCCAGUGUGCAACAUCUCCUCAUUUUGAGUACAGUAAAGACGAGAUUGGAAAGUGUCAUCACAGUAUUGGAAGAUAAUAUUAAUCCUAACGAAGUGGCUACGGAACCGGUACCGGUUUCCAUUUUCAAGGUCUUAUAGAACCGGCAUGAUCACGUGGUGCCUAAACCACGCCCAUUUUAACGAGCUAAUUAAAUAGUAAUUAUUGAUUAAUCAUUAUCUGAAAUUAACUUCCUUAUUUUCUUUCUUUAAUUUUGUUUAUCUCACAAUUAUUCAUCAUUGUUUCUUUGAAUUCACUCUUUUUAUUGUUAUAGUUUAUCAAAGUACUUUUUUAAUCCAAA